rnacentral:lncRNA from 1 species
UAAUGAGAACUUGAUAGAUAUAGGUUAGCAAAUUGAAUGGCUUAACUUAUUUGGUCAUUUAGCAGCAUAUAAAUGCAGAAUCCAGGAAUGCCCUAAAGGCUCAACUUAGAAGACAUGCUACUGCAUAGUAGAACUGCUUAGAUUGGGGCAGAAGAGGUAAAGCAGGAGAUGGAGUCAUACUGGAUUUGCUGAGGCAGCAUUUGAUACAAAAAAGAACAUCUGCUAAAUCUAAUUGAAAAACUAAAGGUGCUACACAAUUCUUCAACCUAGGAACAUCCAUAAUGGAUCUGUCACCUUAUUACAGUCAUAUGAACUUUGUAAUCAUUUGCUUCUAAAUGUAGCAUUUAAUUGCAAUUGUUAUAAACAUUUCUGAAUGUUCCUGCUACUUAGUAAUGGAGUUAACAAUUUAUUGCAUUAUUAAAAUUUUUAUCCCAAAUGGAAAUUAUACUUUUUUAAAGAAACUGUUUGCAUAAAAGUUUUUAAAACAUGUACUAUGCCA